rnacentral:lncRNA from 1 species
CACGCUUUUACCGCAAAUGUGUCGGGGGCAUCCGCGGUCUCCUUGGAGCUUCGUUGGCCAUGAUAGCGUCCAUUACGAAACCAAUAAAGGACGCUGCUUAUUGACGACGCCCGAAAUCUACGCAGAUGACGCGACAGCAGACGAAGCUCGAUCGUCAGCCCGUCAUUUGUAAAGAUCGCAUCUAAGAGACAGGGAAACAUCGCUAGACGUAGAUGUGAGGCGCUACAAGCUCAGACGUUGUCGUAGCACUAUAGUGGACGGAAGAAUCAGCGAAAGAGGUUAACGUGUUUAAAUAGUGAACUUUGCAUCUUUGUUCUUGAUUUGGCUUUACAUGUUAAGGUGUUGGCGAGAAACAUCUGGCGUUGAUAGCCAGCGGAGGCUUGACUGUUCGCUUACAUCGAAGUCCGGAUCUAAUCAGGUUUGACGCCGACAGACUGUUCCGUCGGAUCUACUGAUCCCACUAUAUGUAACACAAGCAAGGUGCUGCACGACAUCGACAAAGAUUCGUAGACGACUAGUUGGGCGGCACCCGGUAAAUCGAUACGCCCCCACGCACGUUGCACAGAAACCAAUGAGCUAAAAACCCGAAAGAUCUGAAGAAACUGUUGCCGAUUACUGGAACGAGGAGAACGUCAUAAAGCCAAAUUGUCUUGUCAAGCUAGUGACCGCUACUUGUCAAAUACGACAAGUUAUCUAUCUCGCACAUCGCAUUACUGAGCACCACUACGUUCAAUAGGGGCAUAAUGAUGUCGACUACUGAAGCAUCUGCACACCCCUUUUGCAGAACCCCAAACAUGCCGCCCAGCUUGGUACUCGUAUUUGUAUUGGUUUCACCAUUUGGACUGAGUUCAAGAAAAUCAGGAAGCGCUUGCGCUGGUCACCCGACGUCUCACAGACAACGCCAACAGCAGCAGUUAAAAGAGCAGAGACGAUUAUAGUUGAUGACAUUGCCAGUAAGGCGAUUGGCCAAAGCAAUCCUGGCCUGCACUUUUUUUUCGCAACUAUAUCAAGCGACUAGCUGUUCAGUCGCAGCAUGCGCCCACGAGCAAGCACAGCAUGACGGGGGCGUCAUAUUUUAUUCUGUCCCUGUAGGAGGCGGUGAUCACUGCCAUGGUCUUCAGUCUCAUCGUCGUCGCGUGUGGUAAAUGUGCGGCAAAUAGAUAGGACCUGGCCGACACCAUGAAGGACUCAGAAGUACUCGGCUAUGGACAGAUGUGCAACCGAACGGUGCCUUAGCGUCAUGAGUAUCGUCCUUAAAAAUAGAGACCCUGUUGACGGCUUUCAAUUUGACUGCGCAUCAAAUGAACGAAAAAUUGUGCUAUCAUUACUUGUAGGCAAGUACGAACUAGUUAUGCUACUCGUAUAUACAACUCAAUUUCAAAUCUUCUGUGAAGCAGAAUGAGGGAAUUUUCUGAGAGAAGGUAAAGGCAUACCACUUGGCUUCUUUAGGCAGCCAUCUGAAGAGUUCGUACUAUGACUAAAUAUGUACCAAUUUGUUGUCGGCUGUUUGUUUGAUCGGCAUAUAUAUAUAUAUAUAUAUAUAUCAGAUCUGUUGCGCCGUUUUUCUAACAGUAUAGAUACUCCGUAACUAGACA